CUCCUGCCUCAGCCUCCAGGGCAGCUGGGACUAUAGAGAAAGGAGAAGGGAAGAAAAAAGAGUCAGCAUGCCUUAAAAAAUGAUUAGAAAAUGGGAAAAGAGGUUUCGGGUACAGCAAAAUCAACCAUCAAAUAAACACACCCAGUGAUGACAUCACAAAAGUGUGUAGGGGCUCAGUCUCCUGCAGUACAGGAAUGAGGGGAAGGUAUCAGGAAAAUAAAAGACAGCCUGCUCCUGCUGGGCAAAAAGAACAAAGGAGAAAUAAGAGGAGGAGGAGAGCAAGAGAUAGAGGCAAGGAACUGGACUGGAAAUCUACAAUAACUCAUGGAGGAAGGAAAUGUCUUACAGAAGAGGCAUCAGAUCGAACAUCCGGUGGUGUUUUCUCCCCCUCGGUUUCUGGAAAACCAUAUACUUUCAUUUAUAAACUCUACGCCCAGACCCCAAAGUAGGAACCAGGAGCUCCUUUGAGGACGUGCAACCCUUCUCAGAAGUCUCACAUGACAGUAUGAGGUAAGAUGAAGGCGGCACUGCGGGUCCAAUCCUGGCUGAGGAUCAGGGUCUGGCACCCUCUGAUUUCUCCAGCGAAGAUUCAGGUAGGAUAGGGGAGAAAGAGGAGGAAGAGGUGCUCCCUGCCACCUGGGAGACCCACUGCUUGGUCAAGCCUGCCUGGGCCCUGCCUGGAGUCAGCAACAGCCAAGUAACACAGACAAUCCUGGAGAACUGAGGAUGACUGGCUUGAUUGACAGGAAGGUGGUAGGCUCCAGUAGCAUCACUGAGGAGCCCAAGGGCAAGACUUGGGGCACCUGAUCCAGGCUGAUCAAGGAGCAUCUGGCCAGAACCCAGAUCAAGGUAGCAAGGGAGCUGCGCUUCCUGUGCCUUGAGGGUCUUUUGACAACCAGCCUUUUGUGUGAAGCUGGUUUCUCUAAAGGAAGUGAAAGCAUGUGAGUAUGGCAAGCUGCAGUAGGGGAGGAAACAUCUUGUUUACAAAUGUCAGGCGGUAAUUAGCCCAUUUUAAAGAGAGGAGCCACCACUGAUGGCUUUUGUUAGCUGAAAACCUCAGUGCUUUCUUGUGGCUGUGCUUGAAGAGGCCGGGUAGACACAGAGACUCUGAACCCAGUUCAUAAAUAGUUGAUUUCAUAUUUUAAAAUCUUGCACUAAAACUGUCACCCCCUCUCGUGGAUCACAGAUGGUGAAGAACUAAUUUGUUACUGUUUGAUAACUGCUUUUAUGUAUCAAAGCUCUUAUUUACUACUCUGUGGGGGAAAUGACAGACUAAGAGCAAUUGUGUGUUUUCUUUCCGUUUUUCUUCAACCGCUAGGCUUCUUGUUUUUCCCUUGACGUGUCUCUUCUUUGAAAGAGACAAUGGUGAAGCUUUUGCAUAUGCCAACUUGGCUGAACUCAGUUUUGGGGGAAUUGGAAGAUGUCUCUUCCAGCACAGACCAGCAGACUUUUUUUUUUUUUUUUUGGAUCCUUUUUAAUGUGCCCAUGCUCCAUAGUAACAUUCAGGCCAGCCUCUCUUCUCUCUUAACUCACAAAAUGUUUCUAAUUAUCUAUGCAAAGUGAGUCUUUGCCUGUAAGAACUGUCCGGCAAAUGUAAGUGCAAGAAGAUGGGUAAGCUGGAUCCAGCUCAUCAGACUUUCUUUCCUGUAACCACUCACUUCAUUCAUUCAUUCAGUUCAUAUUUGAUUCACUUUUUCAUUCAAUUAGCCAGUUGUUAAUUCUUUCGGAGUUUUUGGCUAGAUCAGAGCUUAGAUUGUGGGCACAGUGGAGGCUGGCACUGGUAUGUACUCACCCCUACCGCUCCUACCUAUGUCCUUGGCAUGUCUUGGGCAUAACAUAAAAUGCCUAGAGAAAAAAAUCCAACAAUUAGUUAGCUCAGUUUAGCCAACUAUAGACUGUGAGCUAAGAAUAAUUUUUGUAUUUUCAAAUGGUUGGAAAAAGUCAAGAGAAGAACAGUAGUUCUUGACAUGUGAAAAUUAUCAGAAAAUCAAGGUUCAGCUUUUUGGAACACUGCCCCACCCACUUGUUGAUGUAUUGUCUGCGGUUGCUUCAUGCUACAAUGGCAGCGUUGAAUAGUUGUGAUGGGGCCCAUUGUCUGCAAAACCUAAAAUAUGUAUUACCUGGCCAUAUGCAGAAAAACCUUACCAAUCCCUGAGCUAGCUCAUUCCCUGCUUUCUUUAACACAGCAGGAACGUACUUGAACCAUACCCAUGGUUGUGAUUCAGGCAUACGCAGCCUCAUCACUUGCUACUUACCCUUCGCUCACUGUGCCCAGUCAUCCAACCCAAGGUCACCUCCUGCCCCGCAUCUUUGCACCUCCUAUUCUGCUUACAUGCAGAGCUGUUCCUAUUCUUUCUCCACAUCAACUUUAUUCGUUCUUUUAUUUCAGAUUUUAUAUCAAAUACAAUUUUAUCAGAGAAGACUUCGUAAAUCCCCAGACCAAAUUAGCUCUUUGUCGUCUGUUCUUUUAUGGACCUCCAUUUUUUCUUUUUUCCUUUGAUAAGAGCAUUUAUGAAAGUUUUCAGUUGUAUUUUUCUUAGUGCCAUUAUUUAAUUAAUAUCCUUACACUAGCCUUUAAGAUUUCUGACAGCAAAAGCAAUGACUGCUCAUUUUGUCAUUGCACCCAGGUGCUCAAAAAGGGCCAGGGUGCAGCAGCGAGUGCCAGUCUGAAUGAAGGAAGUAUGCGUGGCCUGGAGCCUCACUGUGUUCCAGGCAUCCAGAACCCAACGCACGAUGACAUCUUUCACAGAACAAGUUCUCACAGGGGAACCCGAGCAAAGUGUAAUGGAUGUUCCCAGGAGCUGCCUAUGGGAUUGAAGAAACACGUAUGAGAGGAGUAACAUUUGGGCUGGAAGCGAAAAUACAAGUAAAUAUAUGUCAAAUAGGUAAGUAUGGAAAGUGAAUUCCAGUAGAAGAAAAUGAGUGUAAAAAUACAGAAUAAGCCAUUUAGAGUAUAGCAAUUAAUUUGGUGCUUGAGGACUACAGCAACAUGUUUCUUUCCCCUUCCAAAAGUCUAGCAGUAGAAUCAGUCAUGUAUCACUUAAUGACAGGGAUACUGUCUGACAAAUACCUCUCUCUUUGAUGUUACCGUGGCGUGCACUCACGUAAACUUAAAUGGUAUGGCCUAGUAUAUACCUAGGCUGGGUAGCGUAGCCUGCUGCUCCUGGGCUGUAAACCUGUUCAGCAUGUUACUGUACUGAAUACUGUCGGCAAUUGUAACACGAUGGAAAGUAUUUGUGUAUCUAAACGUAGAAAAGGUACAGUAAAGGUGCAGUACUAUGGACGACUGCCCCAUAAGAUUGUACGUGAUGCAUUAUUGGCCAAAACGUGUUAUGUGUGGUGCGUGACUCUAUAGUACUGUUUCAUGAAAUCGGCACAGGUCAGGAGCAGCAGACAGUCAAGAGCACAUUCACAGAUCAGAAUGGCUCCCACUUUGCCAAUCUUAGCUUGAACUUGAGUGAAUUCAUUAAUUGACUGCAUUAAUAUAUCCAGAGGCAGAAUUGGCACAUAAAAGGUGGGUGGGUCAGCCGUGGAUUGGCAUCUAGUUUAUAAAUCAGUCUUGCUUGCUUGGUUAAUGUGAGACUGUCACAAAAGAUACAACCGUUCUAUUUUGAUGAUGAUAAAUGAAGGUUUCUAAACCAGUAAGGAGCAAAAUAAGGACAGAGGAUAAUUUACAUAGAAAAUGGCACCUUGUGGGAAAUGACCAGCUAGCUAUUCCCUUAUGCCAUGGUUUGGAUAUUUGCAAAAUACCCCUUUACUUUGAGUUUUUGUAUUUGGCAUGGCUAAAAAGUAGGAUUUCUGGCAUGUAGGGAUGGCACGUAUGAAUAGUAGAGCCAGAAGAAGAGUGUGGAAGCUAGACGUUCGAGAAAAAGCAGCCCCAAUUUCGCAUGCUUUAUGUACUGGACAGGAGUAAAGCUUCCAGGCUGUGAGUGGGGAUGAAAGACAAAUUAGAAAAAUCACUUUGCUUCAACACCCAUUAUUUGAGUGGACUAUGGAGAUAUGGGUUUAGCAAGAUGACAACAGCUUUAUCAUGUUCUCCAGGAGGUCACUAUAUAGUGGGAAACAGAUGAGGGUCUCAGAAUUGCAUGACAAGUCCAACAACAGGUACCAGCAUGAGACAUGGCAAUCCGACUGAUCAUCCACAUGAGAAGAGAUUGGGAGGCCAAGUGAACCCACUCUGACAGCUCCUCCCUGGCAGGCUGGGUGAGGAGGUGGGCUCUGUCAUUAAUAUCCAGUUCCACUUCUCAUGCCCCUCCUGGUCCUGCGGACCCUCAGCCCGGCACCUCCAGGAGG